rnacentral:rRNA from 1 species
CGCGGUAAAACCAGCACCUCAAGUGGUCAGGAUGAUUAUUGGGCCUAAAGCAUCCGUAGCCGGCUCUGUAAGUUUUCGGUUAAAUCCGUACGCUCAACGUACAGGCUGCCGGGAAUACUGCAGAGCUAGGGAGUGGGAGAGGUAGACGGUACUCGGUAGGAAGGGGUAAAAUCCUUUGAUCUAUUGAUGACCACCUGUGGCGAAGGCGGUCUACCAGAACACGUCCGACGGUGAGGGAUGAAAGCUGGGGGAGCAAACCGGAUUAGAUACCCGGGUAGUCCCAGCUGUAAACUGAUGCAAACUCAGUGAUGCAUUGGCUUGUGGCCAAUGCAGUGCCGCAGGGAAGCCGUUAAGUUUGCCGCCUGGGAAGUACGUACGCAAGUAUGAAACUUAAAGGAAUUGGCGGGGGAGCACCACAAGGGGUGAAGCCUGCGGUUCAAUUGGAGUCAACGCCGG